rfam:Octopus bimaculoides Scaffold25716_contig_70, whole genome shotgun sequence.
UCCAAGGCCCUCUUCAGGGCCACCAAGUUUAAAUUGUUACCAUCGG